rnacentral:tRNA from 28 species
GGAGAGGUGGCCGAGAGGCUGAAGGCGGCGGUUUGCUAAACCGUUAUACAAGUAACAUUGUAUCGAGGGUUCGAAUCCCUCUCUCUCCGCCA